rnacentral:rRNA from 1 species
CAGAGGCCUCGAGCGUUAGGCGGAAUCACUGGGCUUAAAGCGUGUGUAGGCGGAUCGUUAAGUACCUUGUGAAAUCCCACGGCUCAACCGUGGAACGGCUGGGUAUACUGGCGGUCUUGGGCCAUUCAGGGGCGACUGGAACAAGCGGUGGAGCGGUGAAAUGCGUAGAUAUCGCUUGGAACGCCGAAGGUGAAAACAGGUCGCUGGGGAUGUGCCGACGCUGAGACACGAAAGCCAGGGGAGCAAACGGGAUUAGAUACCCCGGUAGUCCUGGCCCUAAACGAUGUCCACUAGAUUAUGGCGCCUUUGACGGCGUCAUGGUCGAAGCAAAAGUGUUAAGUGGACCGCCUGGGAAGUACGGUCGCAAGGCUA